rnacentral:rRNA from 1 species
UACGUAGGGACCGAGCGUUGUCCGGAAUCAUUGGGCGUAAAGAGCGUGUAGGCGGCUUGUUAAGUCUUGCGUGAAAUCUCGGGGCUCAACCCCGAGCGGUCGUGAGAAACUGGCAGGCUAGAGUGCGGGAGAGGAGAGUGGAAUUCCUGGUGUAGCGGUGAAAUGCGCAGAUAUCAGGAAGAACACCCGUGGCGAAGGCGGCUUUCUGGACGGUAACUGACGCUGAGACGCGAAAGCGUGGGGAGCAAACAGG